UUCCUGCACGGAAGGCAGAGCACUCCCCAUCUAUUUUGACUCUAGAUGUUAGGAGGAAUUCUAUGAGCUGUUUUGUAAACUGCACCAAGGCAAUGCUGUGUCAUGGAAACCAGUGCAGGCAAGAUUUCUAGGGAGAGGCAGUGUUUACCCUUGUUACCUGGACUAGAGGUCAGCAAAAGCGGAAGCCCCUCAGGAGUGUGGGCAGAGCCACAGAGGGCUUGCCCAUUGACAACCAGUUCCCCUGGGUUUUCUGGAUCUGGACACCUCUUUCAACUCUUAGGUUGAAUCCCAGAACGACCAUUUGCUAACUGUUGGCAUCUCCUUGAACUUCACUUCUUCAACUGAAACUAAAAACGAUGCUAAGUCCCUGGGGAUACUAUGAAGAUUAAGUCUCCAAAGAAGUAACUGUCAUAGUUUGUGGCACUGUCACUCAAAAAACAAAACAAAACAAAACAAACUAUUGAAUAUGUGCUAUAUUCUAGCAACCUCCUACUGCUAUGGGCUGACUGGGAGCUGUCAGAUUCUGUAACACACUUGGGAUGAGUGAGAAGAUGGGUGGCCCAGAAGUGUUAAAAAUAGGGAUUAUUAUAGAAUACUUAUUAUCAAAAUACCCAUGUAGCGCCAUAGUUAUCACUCAACAGGUAUUAUUGUAAGUUCCCCAAUUACAAUAAAUGAUUAUUGUCAACUAUGACUUUUGGGGGUCACAGAAUGGGGGACUCAAUGGAGGAAAAAACCCAUGGGCACACAAAAGCUCUGUCUCUCCUGUAAUAAUUCAGACUCAAAUCUCACAAGUUUCAUCUAAAAUAAGCAAAA